GGCUCAGAUUGAACGCUGGCGGCAGGCCUAACACAUGCAAGUCGAACGGUAACAGGAAGCAGCUUGCUGCUUUGCUGACGAGUGGCGGACGGGUGAGUAAUGUCUGGGAAACUGCCUGAUGGAGGGGGAUAACUACUGGAAACGGUAGCUAAUACCGCAUAACGUCGCAAGACCAAAGAGGGGGACCUUCGGGCCUCUUGCCAUCGGAUGUGCCCAGAUGGGAUUAGCUAGUAGGUGGGGUAAAGGCUCACCUAGGCGACGAUCCCUAGCUGGUCUGAGAGGAUGACCAGCCACACUGGAACUGAGACACGGUCCAGACUCCUACGGGAGGCAGCAGUGGGGAAUAUUGCACAAUGGGCGCAAGCCUGAUGCAGCCAUGCCGCGUGUAUGAAGAAGGCCUUCGGGUUGUAAAGUACUUUCAGCGGGGAGGAAGGGAGUAAAGUUAAUACCUUUGCUCAUUGACGUUACCCGCAGAAGAAGCACCGGCUAACUCCGUGCCAGCAGCCGCGGUAAUACGGAGGGUGCAAGCGUUAAUCGGAAUUACUGGGCGUAAAGCGCACGCAGGCGGUUUGUUAAGUCAGAUGUGAAAUCCCCGGGCUCAACCUGGGAACUGCAUCUGAUACUGGCAAGCUUGAGUCUCGUAGAGGGGGGUAGAAUUCCAGGUGUAGCGGUGAAAUGCGUAGAGAUCUGGAGGAAUACCGGUGGCGAAGGCGGCCCCCUGGACGAAGACUGACGCUCAGGUGCGAAAGCGUGGGGAGCAAACAGGAUUAGAUACCCUGGUAGUCCACGCCGUAAACGAUGUCGACUUGGAGGUUGUGCCCUUGAGGCGUGGCUUCCGGAGCUAACGCGUUAAGUCGACCGCCUGGGGAGUACGGCCGCAAGGUUAAAACUCAAAUGAAUUGACGGGGGCCCGCACAAGCGGUGGAGCAUGUGGUUUAAUUCGAUGCAACGCGAAGAACCUUACCUGGUCUUGACAUCCACGGAAGUUUUCAGAGAUGAGAAUGUGCCUUCGGGAACCGUGAGACAGGUGCUGCAUGGCUGUCGUCAGCUCGUGUUGUGAAAUGUUGGGUUAAGUCCCGCAACGAGCGCAACCCUUAUCCUUUGUUGCCAGCGGUCCGGCCGGGAACUCAAAGGAGACUGCCAGUGAUAAACUGGAGGAAGGUGGGGAUGACGUCAAGUCAUCAUGGCCCUUACGACCAGGGCUACACACGUGCUACAAUGGCGCAUACAAAGAGAAGCGACCUCGCGAGAGCAAGCGGACCUCAUAAAGUGCGUCGUAGUCCGGAUUGGAGUCUGCAACUCGACUCCAUGAAGUCGGAAUCGCUAGUAAUCGUGGAUCAGAAUGCCACGGUGAAUACGUUCCCGGGCCUUGUACACACCGCCCGUCACACCAUGGGAGUGGGUUGCAAAAGAAGUAGGUAGCUUAACCUUCGGGAGGGCGCUUACCACUUUGUGAUUCAUGACUGGGGUGAAGUCGUAACAAGGUAACCGUAGGGGAACCUGCGGUUGGAUCACCUCCUU
rnacentral:rRNA from 1 species